rnacentral:lncRNA from 13 species
AACAACGAAUUUAUAAAGCUCAAUUAGACCAAAGUCGAUACGGAAAAUGUGUUAUUUAUUAAUUAAAGCUAACUUUUUCUUAUUUUUAGAAGAAGUAGAAGAUACAAGGAUGAUAUUGAAAGAAAGGUAUCACUUUCUGGUCCAUUGAUGCAACAAGCACGCAACAUUUUGAAACAGAUGGAUGGUAAAGUGAUGAAGAAUGAAUUUGAUAUUCAAAUUCUUGAUUUAUUGGCGAGUUCUUGGCCAGACAGACCACCAGUUGAGAAAAGCUGGAACUAUUGAAGGAUAUGAAGACUGGUUUAUUAGAAGAAGGGAAAGCUACCUUACUCACGAAAAUGUCUUUG